GACGAACGCUGGCGGCGUGCUUAACACAUGCAAGUCGAACGGAAAGGCCCUGCUUUUGUGGGGUGCUCGAGUGGCGAACGGGUGAGUAACACGUGAGUAACCUGCCCUUGACUUUGGGAUAACUUCAGGAAACUGGGGCUAAUACCGGAUAGGAGCUCCUGCUGCAUGGUGGGGGUUGGAAAGUUUCGGCGGUUGGGGAUGGACUCGCGGCUUAUCAGCUUGUUGGUGGGGUAGUGGCUUACCAAGGCUUUGACGGGUAGCCGGCCUGAGAGGGUGACCGGCCACACUGGGACGGAGAUACGGCCCAGACUCCUACGGGAGGCAGCAGUGGGGAAUAUUGCACAAUGGGCGGAAGCAUGAUGCAGCAACGCAGCGUGCGGGAUGGCGGCCUUCGGGUUGUAAACCGCUUUCGCCUGUGACGAAGCGUGAGUGACGGUAAUGGGUAAAGAAGCACCGGCUAACUACGU
rnacentral:rRNA from 1 species